CUACUGUCCACUACAGAACCCCAGGUCUCACUACUGUCCACUACAGAACCCCAGGUCUCACUACUGUCCACUACAGAACCCCAGGUCUCACUACUGUCCACUACACAACCCCAGGUCUCACUACUGUCCACUACACAACCCCAGGUCUCACUACUGUCCACUACACAACCCCAGGUCUCACUACUGUCCACUACAGAACCCCAGGUCUCACUACUGUCCACUACAGAACCCCAGGUCUCACUACUGUCCACUACACAACCCCAGCUCUCACUGCUGUCCACUACACAACCCCAGCUCUCACUACUGUCCACUACACAACCCCAGGUCUCACUACUGUCCACUACACAACCCCAGGUCUCACUACUGUCCACUACACAACCCCAGGUCUCACUACUGUCCACUACACAACCCCAGGUCUCACUACUGUCCACUACACAACCCCAGGUCUCACUACUGUCCACUACACAACCCCAGGUCUCACUACUGUCCACUACAGAACCCCAGGUCUCACUACUGUCCACUACAGAACCUCAGUUCCCACUACAGUGUUACUACUGUACGAUUGGACCAAUUGACUGACAUGUUUAUUAAGGUACGACUAAAACACCAGAAGAUAGAAUCUGAUUUAGUAGCGAACACUGUCGAGAUGUGGCAUGUAUAUGAAAACCAUACUAUUUAUAUACUACACCAAACCAAGCCCGUUGCCAAAUCCCAGUAGUUAUAGACAGUUUGUUAUACCAGUCUGGAUAAUCGGUCAUACUGGAAGAUACAACUAUCACAAUAUUCAUCCACUGAAAAGUUUACUAUAUAUUUUCAUAUUCAUAUAUUGUUUUAGAUUAUGAUUUUUUUUAAAUAUAUAAUGAAUAUCAUUACACCGCCUUCAAACGAGUACUGAAAUGUCUCGCCGGUGACCUCAUAGCUUACAGAGCACCUUACUGGUGGAUAGAGCUGUGACAUCAGCAGGGCCAACCUUAACAGUGGUGUUUACGUGAAGAAGAAGAAGAAAAAGAUGAUAGAAGAGGCUAUGGUCAUAGAGUCUCUAUAGAAGGGUCCUAGAGCCUCUAACACUACUAACUUGAAUGGUGGAAGCCUGUUCUAUAGAUUAUAUUUCUAUAGUUAUGAGAACCGGUGACAUGACAAGCGUACUAGUACGUGACAAAGCAUAUUCAAUGACUUAGUCUGUUCUAUUAUUAUUGUGUGUAUAUAUAUAUAUAUUUUUUUUGAAAGUUAUACUUGAAAAUGGCAUGAUAUAAUUUACUCAUCAAAGUUUUUUAACUUGUAAAAAAAGAAUAAGAUUGAGAACUUGUAAAAGUGAGCAGGUUAACUUAGUGAAUGUGCUUUGCGAUACAUCCUUUUGGUCAUUGUUUUUAUAGACACACAAGAAUAAAUGAAAGAAUUCUAUUAAUUUCGUUUUUAUUAAAAGGCAAGUGGUGUUUGUUUACUGUUCCCAUUGUGCCAAGUGACUGACAUGUUAAGGUACAACUAAGGUACACAGCUGAAAAUAUAGAAUCUGAUUUAGUCCAAGCAGCGAGGACUGUAUUUAAAGACAUGCUCCGGUACUUUGGCGACUCGUAAGUUUUUUAAAUAUAUUUGUUUUAAACCUCUCGCUUUGGGCUGAAUGUGUCAAUGUGCAGUUCCAUACAUGCAGAAUUACAGUUUCACCUCAAUUAGACACUAAAAUCCCUAGUUUGAAAGCGACUGUUUUCUGGAAGCUGUGCCGUGCCAUUUUCCCUACAUUUCCCCCCAUGUGCGCCAGCCCCCGAGCAAUUCAAGUUCUAGGCAAUGAACUUCAGACCCUUGCAUUUGAGUGACAUCUAGCAAGAGGCCUGUCCAACAUUAUCCAAUGAGGUUGCAGGGUGGGCCCAUUAGCAGAGAGAGAGGCAGAGAGAGAGAGAGACAGAGAGAGGCAGAGAGAGAGAGAGAGAGAGAGAAGCAGAGAGAGAGAGAGAGGCAGAGAGAGACAAAGAGAAGCAGAGAGAGAGAGAGAGGGAGAGAGAAGCAGAGAGAGAGAGAGGCAGAGAGAGAGACCGAGAGAGGGAGAGAGAAGCAGAGAGAGGCAGAUAGAGAGAGAGGGAGCGAGAGCGAUCUCGUGGUGUACAUAUCUGCUCAUAUGUGAUGCUAUUUUCGGGGACCACUUUUUGCUAGUGAGCGCUACUUUCAGAACUAGUGGCUGCAAAAGUAUCCGGAGAAUCUCUUUAAACACGGAGACAGAUGUUGCAUGUAUAUGAAAUACUAUUUAUAUUUUUAUAUAAACACCAGAAGAGUGAAUAUGUGUAUACUAUAGACCUGUGGAACGUGUAUGUAUUGAGUUAUGAUUGAUCAUGUUCUCCUUUUUGGGAAGUAUUGAGACCAUUGACUUUUGUUAUGUUACAGCCUUAUUCUAAAAUUGAUAAAAUUGUUUUUUCCCCUCAUCAAUCUACACAUAAUCCCCCAUAAUAACAAAGCUGCACAGCUAUUUUCAGGUCUCUCCAGAGAUGUUCAAGUUCAGGGUUCAAGUCCAGGCUCUGGCUGGGCCACUCAAUGACCUUUUUCAGAGACUUGUCCCGAAGCCACUCCUGCAUUGUCUUGGCUGUGUGUUUUAGGGUCGUUGUCCUGUUGAAAGGUGAACCUUCGCCCCAGUCUGAGGUCCUGUGUGCUCUGGAGCAGGUUUUCAUCAAGGAUCUUUCUGUACUUUGCUCCGUUCAUCUUUUGCCUCAAUCCUGACUAGUCUUCUAGUCCCUGCCACUGAAAAACAUCCCCACAGCAUGAUGCUGCCACCACCUUGCUUCACCAUAGGGAUGUUACCAAGUUUCCUCCAGACGUGACGCUUGGCAUUCAGGUCACAGAGUUUAAUCUUGGUUUCAUCAGACCAGAGAAUCUUGUUCCUCAUGGUCUGAAAGUCCCUUAGGUUCCUUUUAGCAAACUCCAAGCGGGCUGUUGUGCAUUUUACUGAGGAGUGGCUUCCGUCUGGCCACUCUACCAUAAAGGCCUGAUUGGUGGAGUGCAGCAGAGAUGGUUGACCGUCUUGAAGGUUCUCUCAUCUCCACAGAGGAACCAUAGAGCUCUGUCAGAGUGAGUAUCAGGUUCUUGGUCACCUCCCUGACCAAGGCUCUUCUCCUCCCCUCUUCUUGCUCAGGUGGCCAGCUCUAGGAAGAGUCUUGAUGGUUCCAAUCUUCUUCCAUUUAAGAAUGAUGGAGGCCACUGUGUUCUUGGGGACCUUCAAUGCUGCGACAUUUUUUUGUACACUUCCCCAUCUGUGCCUCGACACAGUCCUGUCUCGGAGCUCUAUGGGCAAUUCCUUCGACCUCAUGGCUUGGUUUUUGCUCUGACAUACACUGUCAACUGUGGGACCUUGUAUAGACAGGUGUGUGCCUUUCCAAAUCAUGUCCAAUCAAUUGAAUUUACCACAGGUGGUCAAGUUGUAGAAACGUCUCAUGGAUGAUCAAUGGAAACAGGAUGCACCUGAGCUCAAUGUCGAGUCAUUGCGAAGGGUCUGAAUACUUAUGUCAAUAAGUUAUUUCAUUAUUUUGUUUUUUUAUACAUUUGCAAACAUAAAAAAAACUAACUUGUUUUUCGCUUUGUCAUUAUGGGGUAUUCUGUGUAGAUUGAUUGAUUAGUAUUAUUUGAAUCCAUUAAAGAAUAAGGCUAUUACGUCAAGGGGUCUGAAUACUCUCCGAAUGUACUGGACAGCAUGUGAAUAUAUAUGGUGAUGUUUUCAAUUUGAUAAGAGGGUAUUUAUUAGACUGAAUAGUAGCAUGUUUUGAACCAAGACAGAGCACAGUGAGUGAGCAGUGACAACCGAGUGAGGGAUCAUUAGCUUACCUUGUGGUAACUAGUGGUGGUAGCUUCGAUACAGUGUAUUAACUUGGUUAAGUGUGUGUGUGUGUGUGUGUGUGUGUCAUGAGAGUGAAACACCAUGAUGCUGAUAAUGACUCCAGGGUUGAACCUCCCUCUCUGUUGUAUCUGCAGUCUAUCCACUAGGUUUGAUAAUGACUCCAGGGUUGAACCUUCCUCUCUGUUGUAUCUGCAGUCUAUCCACUAGGUUUGAUAAUGUGCUGCAUGUUGCUGUUGUGACUGUUUUUUUGUUUAAUAAACAAGAAUAAGGAAAA